GGCUCAGAUUGAACGCUGGCGGAAUGCUUUACACAUGCAAGUCGAACGGCAGCACGGGGCAACCUGGUGGCGAGUGGCGAACGGGUGAGUAAUAUAUCGGAACGUGCCCAAUCGUGGGGGAUAACGUAGCGAAAGUUACGCUAAUACCGCAUACGAUCUACGGAUGAAAGCGGGGGAUCGCAAGACUUCGCGCGAAUGGAGCGGCCGAUAUCAGAUUAGGUAGUUGGUGGGGUAAUGGCUCACCAAGCCGACGAUCCGUAGCUGGUCUGAGAGGAUGACCAGCCAGACUGGAACUGAGACACGGUCCAGACUCCUACGGGAGGCAGCAGUGGGGAAUUUUGGACAAUGGACGCAAGUCUGAUCCAGCCAUUCCGCGUGCAGGACGAAGGCCUUCGGGUUGUAAACUGCUUUUGUACAGAACGAAAAGGUCUCUAUUAAUACUAGGGGCUCAUGACGGUACUGUAAGAAUAAGCACCGGCUAACUACGUG
rnacentral:rRNA from 1 species